rnacentral:rRNA from 1 species
AGAGUUUGAUCCUGGCUCAGGAUGAACGCUGGCGGUAUGCCUAACACAUGCAAGUCGUACGAGAGUUUUUAACUCUAGUGGCGGACGGGUGAGUAACACGUGAGAAUUUGCCUUUAGGAGGGGGAUAACAAUUGGAAACGAAUGCUAAUACCCCAUAUGCUUUCGAGUGAAAUGAAUUUUUUAUUUGCCUAAAGAGAAGCUCGCGGCUGAUUAGCUUGUUGGUAAGGUAAGAGCUUACCAAGGCGACGAUCAGUAUCUGGUUUGAGAGGACGAUCAGACACACUGGAACUGAGACACGGUCCAGACUCCUACGGGAGGCAGCAGUGGGGAAUUUUCCGCAAUGGGCGAAAGCCUGACGGAGCAAUACCGCGUGAGGGAAGAAUGCCUAUGGGUUGUAAACCUCUUUUUUCAGGGAGGAAUAAAUGACGUGUACCUGAAGAAUAAGCAUCGGCUAACUCCGUGCCAGCAGCCGCGGUAGGACGGAGGAUGCAAGUGUUAUCCGGAAUCACUGGGCGUAAAGCGUCUGUAGGUGGUUUAAUAAGUCAACUGUUAAAUCUUGAGGCUCAACUUCAAAAUCGCAGCUGAAACUAUUAGACUAGAGUAUAGUAGAGGUAAAGGGAAUUUCCAGUGUAGCGGUGAAAUGCGUAG